rnacentral:rRNA from 1 species
AUUGAACGCUGGCGGCAUGCUUUACACAUGCAAGUCGAACGGUAACAGGUUAAGCUGACGAGUGGCGAACGGGUGAGUAAUGCAUCGGAACGUGCCCGAUCGUGGGGGAUAACGCAGCGAAAGCUGCGCUAAUACCGCAUACGAUCUGAGGAUGAAAGCGGUGGACCGUAAGGCCUAGCGCGAUCGGAGCGGACGAUGUCAGAUUAGGUGGUUGGUGGGGUAAAGGCUCACCAAGCCGACGAUCUGUAGCUGGUCUGAGAGGACGACCAGCCACACUGGGACUGAGACACGGCGCAGCGUCCUACGGGAGGAAGCAGUGGGGAAUUUUGGACAAUGGGCGCAAGCCUGAUCCAGCAAUGCCGCGUGCAGGAUGAAGGCCUUCGGGUUGUAAACUGCUUUUGUACGGAGCGAAAAGGUCUCUUCUAAUACAGGAGGCCCAUGACGGUACCGUAAGAAUAAGCACCGGCUAACUACGUGCCAGCAGCCGCCGUAACAC